GAUGAAGAACGUAGCGAAAUGCGAUAAGUAAUGUGCAUUGCAGAAUUCAGUGAAUCAUCGAAUCUUUGAACGCACAUUGCGCCCCCUGGUAUUCCGGGGGGCAUGCCUGUCCGAGCGUCAUUACAACCCUCAAGCUCAGCUUGGUAUUGGGCCCCGCCGACCCGGCGGGCCCUAAAGUCAGUGGCGGUGCCGUCCGGCUCCGAGCGUAGUAAUUCUUCUCGCUCUGGAGGUCCGGUCGUGUGCUCGCCAGCAACCCCCAAUUUUUUUCAGGUUGACCUCGGAUCAGGUAGGGAUACCCGCUGAACUUAAGCAUAUCAAUAAGCGGAGGA
rnacentral:misc_RNA from 1 species